ACGCCUUCCGCCCACUUUGCAUUUUGCAAUAAUUAACAACGAUAUGAUGAUGAUUGACACAUACAUGUAAUACCUAAAAAUACAAUAAAAGUUGUCGAUUUCACUUUAUUGCAAGUUUGUAAACUAGUAAGAGUCGAUAAGUACAGAUAUUCGAAUAAAUAUUUAAAAUAUUAGUAACCCCAUGGAGUCUGUCGCUUUUAUAUACUUAAACCUUUGUAUUAAAACAAACAGUUACAGCUAGUAAUACAACAUUAAUAUUUUCAACAAAUUCUAUAAAAUAAUGCGAUAAAAUCUGCCUACGCAAAUUUGGCAAUGGCCAAUGUGGCCAUUGAUUGCAUCCCAACUCUUACAAUUUAUACAUUAAUUUGAAAUCGCCAUACAAUGAUAAAAUCUAAAUAAUGCUAUGUUAUCAAAAUGUUCUAAAUAGUACUUAUAAUCACAAAACUUCGGAUCGUGUAAAAAUUAUAUAAUAUAUACUGUAUUGUAAUGCAUGUUUAUUACAACGGAAAGAUCUGACAACGCUGAAGUAUUUGACACGUACUGCUCUACUCCCCUCUACUGGCUCUAGUUUUAAUUUUAGACGGUAGAUACUGAUCAUAGAUUAGUUGUCGUUCGACAUCACAAAAUAUUUAGAAUAUUACACUGUAUGCAUAUUUAUAUGCGUUGAUUUACCGUUGAAAAUAUUCUGAUCUUUUCAAAUCUUUUCAUGUCAGCGAUCAACCAAUCACAACCCAUUUCCCUGUGAAUUAGCCAAUCAGCUUUGUCGACCACCAGGCGGUCGACUUAGGGGCUGAUUGGG